UUCCACGUGCGUCGAGUCACGACCCCCCCGCGGCCCAGUGGGGCGGGGACUGGGCUAGCGCAAGCGGUAGGCUCUGUCCGAAGAACCCUCCCACCCACUGAGACGUCUCGGGUUUGGGACUCAGGCCCCUCAGUUCUUCAGCACCCUCUGCCUUUUAUAAGUGGGGAAACUGAGCUUUGAAACUCAGCAAAGAAGGGAAAUCCAUCCAGAACGGUCUGUAAAGAUUAAUGGAUGAAAACAGAUUCAGGAUAAUUGAUAUCCAUUCAGAUUUCCCUAC